rnacentral:tRNA from 1 species
AGAAACUUAGGUAAGAAAAAAACCAAGAACCUUCAAAGCCCNAAA